rnacentral:rRNA from 1 species
CUCUCGCAUCGAGGAAGAACGUAGCAAAAUGCGAUACGUGGUGUGAAUUGCAGGAUCCCGUGAACCAUCGAGUUUUUGAACGCAAGUUGCGCCCGAAGCCUUUAGGCCGAGGGCACGUCUGCCUGGGCGUCACGCACCGUUGCCCCCCAAACCCCCUCAGUCCUCCACGGAGGAUUGGCGAGGCGCGUGGGGGGCGUAAAGUGGCUUCCCGUCGGCUUUGUCCCGCGGUUGGCCUAAAAAUGAAUCCCUAGCCGCGGUGCGCGCGGCAUUCGGUGGUCAUCGAUCCCUUUCGUUACCCCGCCGCGCGCUCACGUGCCGCGAAGGAUGUCACACUAGUAAACCCGACGCCUCGCUUUGUGAAGAGCGGAGCUUACAACGCGACCCCAGGUCAGGCGGGGCUACCCGCUGAA